rnacentral:rRNA from 1 species
AUUGAACGCUGGCGGCAUGCCUUACACAUGCAAGUCGAACGGCAGCACGGGAGCUUGCUCCUGGUGGCGAGUGGCGAACGGGUGAGUAAUGCAUCGGAACGUGCCCUGAAGUGGGGGAUAACGUAGCGAAAGUUACGCUAAUACCGCAUAUUCUGUGAGCAGGAAAGCAGGGGAUCUUCGGACCCUGCGCUUUUGGAGCGGCCGAUAUCGGAUUAGCUAGUUGGUGGGGUAAAGGCCCACCAAGGCGACGAUCCGUAGCGGGUCUGAGAGGAUGAUCCGCCACACUGGAACUGAGACACGGUCCAGACUCCUACGGGAGGCAGCAGUGGGGAAUUUUUGGACAAUGGGCGCAAGCCUGAUCCAGCCAUGCCGCGUGAGUGAAGAAGGCCUCGG